rnacentral:rRNA from 1 species
AACGCGAAGAACCUUACCAGGGCUUGACAUGGAGAGGCCGUGUCCAGAGAUGGGCAUUCCCGCAAGGGCCUCUUGCACAGGUGCUGCAUGGCUGUCGUCAGCUCGUGUCGUGAGAUGUUGGGUUAAGUCCCGCAACGAGCGCAACCCUUGUUACCAGUUGCUACCAUUUAGUUGAGCACUCUGGUGAGACCGCCUCGGAUAACGGGGAGGAAGGCGGGGAUGACGUCAAGUCCUCAUGGCCUUUAUGUCCAGGGCUACACACGUGCUACAAUGGCCGGUACAAACCGUUGCAAACCCGCGAGGGGGAGCUAAUCGGAAAAAGCCGGCCUCAGUUCGGAUUAGAGUCUGCAACUCGACUCUAUGAAGCUGGAAUCGCUAGUAAUCGCGGAUCAGAACGCCGCGGUGAAUACGUUCCCGGGCCUUGUACACACCGACUGUAC